UUGGAGGGCAAGUCUGGUGCCAGCAGCCGCGGUAAUUCCAGCUCCAAUAGCGUAUAUUAAAGUUGUUGCAGUUAAAAAGCUCGUAGUUGAAUUUCGGGGUUCUUCCGUUGGUCAGGCUAACAAGUCUGUACUAACGUGUAGAAUUCCUACCUUCUGGGGAACCAUCAUGUUAUUAAUUUAGCGUGGUGGGAAACCAGGACCUUUACCUUGAAAAAAUUAGAGUGUUCAAAGCAGGCUUACGUCUGAAUACAUUAGCAUGGAAUAAUAAAAUAGGACGGUGGUCCUGUUUUGUUGGUUUCUGAAUCACCGCAAUGAUUAAUAGGGAUAGUUGGGGGCAUUAGUAUCCAAUUGUCAGAGGUGAAAUUCUUGGAUUUAUUGAAGACUAACUUCUGCGAAAGCAUUCGCCAAGGAUGUUUUCAUUAAUCAAGAACGAAAGUUAGGGGAUCGAAGACGAUCAGAUACCGUCGUAGUCUUAACCAUAAACUAUGCCGACUAGGGAUCGGACGAUGUUAAAUUUUAUUGACUCGUUCGGCGCCUUACGGGAAAC
rnacentral:rRNA from 1 species